CGCGUAUUGGGCAGAAAGAGAGAGACAAAAAAAAUCACUCUCCACCUCUCGCAGUCUCCCCCACGCACGCGAUCUCCUCUCGUUCCCCACACCAACGCAGCCGCCGCCGCCUCCUCUGCUCGUUUCUCAGCCUCACCGGAUUUGGGGAGCCACCGACGCGCAGGACGCGCCCCGCCGCGCCUCCCUUCCCACCCACGCAGCUGCGGGCGAGGGGUCCUCCAGAUCCCCAGCUGCCGAGGACCCUGUCCUCCUCGGCGUCAGCGACGGCUACAUGUCCCUCAAGGGCGUCAUCCAGGUCGAGAGGGCCGGCCAUACCGACGCCCAGUCCAAGCUCGUCUUCUACGUUAAUCCUCUCACCCCCACAGGAGAGAGAGAAGGAGGGAGGGAGGCCAGCGAGCAAGGAGAGGGAGAGAGCAGAGUUGUCUGCUUUGCUUCGUGCACCCAAUCUCCCUCUCCCCGGAGAUUCUUCUCUCUCUCAAGUCUCAACCGAUGGACCAGCUGGUGAAUUUCAUCAUCCGCCCGCCCAGAGCUGACUACAGGCCAAACGAUGAUCUACGGGAGCAGGAGUUUAUGCUCAAGGGAAGAUGGUUUCAGAGGAAGGACCUGGAGGUUCAAUUUUAAACAAUGCAAGUAGGAUGCAAGGGAUAAACAGGAAUUGUGCUAGGCUGAUGCGCCGGAGAGACAGAACAGGAGGCCGACCAGUCCGUGGUGUCGCCGUUGUCGUCCUUGUCCCUCAUGCGCGGCAAUGGAGAGAGACGAUCCGUCUGGAGAUCGAGUAUAGGAGCCGUCUACCUCUGUUACUGAUAAAAACUGGCCAGAGGGGAUCUGCUUUACCCCCUGAUCCUCUCCGCGAUUGGGAGGUUGAGCCAUGGCCUACCCGUGCUUGAUACCGAGAUGUUCAAGAUGGCCGACCCGUUCAUUGCUGGUUGGUUUCUUAGUGCCUACCUCCUUGCGGGAUUUGGCGAUGAUGCCAAAGGAAGCAAUGGGCUGUUGGGAUACCGAUGUGCCCGAUGGUUCUUUCAUCGUGUGUGCCCUUACACCAAUGUCUAAUUUAUUUUCAUGCCUUUGGUUCAAUGAGGUCAACUGUUUCACCUCCCGUGAUCAAUUGAGUUUUACAUACACUUGCUUGAAGCUCACGAGAAUGAACGCUUGAAGAUAUUUCACCUAAAUAUGUUUAAGUCUGGUGGGGGUGGAGCAGUGAGGCUGGAGACCCAGGCAGGGGACGCCUCAGGGCUUGGAGGAGAGGUCGACGAUACGGACAAGGAGCAGUAGCCUCAUGGAUCUGCAGUGAAGCGUCAUCGAGGGAUGGCUGAUGUCAAGGCACACAUAGCUCCGGCUGCCGCGGAUAGGAAGUACUCGACGCAUGAUAUCCUCCUGACUCUGACUGAACCCUGUUUCGUGCAAACAUGCUCUGUAUUUUUUUGGUAGGAACAUUUAACUCUAAAGACAUAACUAUUCAGACUGCAAGAUUUUUGCUUUGGGUUUCAGAAGAACUGUAUAGACAUGCUUGUUGUAGUAUCUGUGUUAUGUACUCAGUGUCAAAUACAAAGUUCAAAUAUCAUUUGAUACAAGGAACAGGCAUCUGAACUUUAUAAAAGUAGAUAUAGCAAACAUUAGGCUUGAUUGCAUUAAUAAUUUAUAUAGUUGCAGAUGUACUUACUUCUGGUACUAAUCAUUUGAUGCUUUUCUUUUUAUUUCCACCAUUACAAGAUUAAGCUUGACAGUGAAAUCUUGGAUAGUAUGUAACACCUUUUCUGCAUAUUUAGAAUAUGUAUGCAAACUCACACUGGUUUAAUUUUGCUUUGGUUUUACUAACCAAAUUAGUUUCAAUAAUCCAGUUCCAUUUUUGUCUUCCCUGCUAAUUUGCGGCUUUCUGUGCCAGAUACAUCAUAGUUAAUAAAAAAACUUCUGCUGUAAUGGAGGUACUCAUCUUUAGUAGUGUGCUUAAUUUGAUUCAUCACCUCAAGUGUUUUACACAAAAUUUGAACUAUGUGUAUCUACUGGUGAGUCCUUGGGCCUCGCUCUAUUUCAGUUUUCAAGAUGGAAGAAUGUCUUAAAGUUUCAACUACUAUUUACUAAUUGUAGGCUCCUUAGAAGAUUCCACCUAAUCUUUAGAAACAGAAAAUUAUAAGUAUAUUGUCCGCUAGAUGCAAGCAUGAGUAGCUCAAAACUGAAACGCUGCCAUCUCGGACCUCCUCCAUGGUUUGCCAGGCUACCAAGAUCAAUAAUGUAGCGACAUGAGGAGGGAAUUUGAUCAAGACAUAAGUAGGUAAAUACCCCUAGCUAUUUUCUUUAUAUAUUUUGCCCUUCUCUCACUGUAUUCUAUUUUGCCUUUUAGUGAUUGUAAAAUUAAAGUCUUCAAUAAACAUACAUUUACUUAUGCUUCAGAGGAUAAGCCUUCUGUAAAUACACCCACCCACGCCUAAGAUUUUAGCAAAUAAAUCUUGGCUCAAUAACUUUUGUUUUUAAUGGAAGGAACAAUUUCUUCAGUGACUAACUACAUCUUUUUCUUUGCUAGGCUGUAGACAAGAUAGGUGAUAUUAAAUGUUUCCUCACAAAUAACCUCUCUAAUUGACGAGAAUAACUGGGUAUGUAACAAUGUUAACAUUGGUAGUUUAUCGGCACAGUACUAAUGUUGCCUUAAUGCACAAUAAACUCAAAUAUCGUCCUCUCAGUAUAUGCCUCUACAAAAGGGUGCUUAAUGAAUUCAAUGGUUUGCCUCAUUUGUACAGAAAUUUGGACCAUUCUAGCUCAUUGAGAUAGUUUCUAAUUUAGUUUGUUGAUUAUAUUUUAUUACUACAGUUUUACUGGGCUGUGUCCUCAUGGAUUUCAAGUUUCGCUGGAGAUAUGUCAUCUGCCAAUGUUAGAAGAAUAGGUGCUUCCAUAGAAAAAGGUCUUUGUCUCGAUUCCUUCCCUUUGAAGGAAACUCCAAAUCGAGUCGUCGCGCCAUGCCUAGGCUUGCUAAAAGCUAACUCAUGUCUUAGAGAUUUUUAGUAGCGAAUUUAAGUGCAUGGUUACUGAUGUGGCUAUGGAAUGCACGGGUUGUACAGCAACUAAGUUUGUAGAGUGAAUUCACGUGCUCAUAAAGGAAGUGGUGAAACCCAAUAAACAAUAUCAUAUGGAUGCAUCUUAAGAGGUGCACAAUUGGCAUAUAUUUCGAUUGUGCUCCUUCAGGCCAUCUUUGAUGCUCAGAUUGUGCUUUCAUUGACAUUCACAUAUUCUUGUUGUUAUUGUGUAUGUGCAGCUACUGAUAUAGGUCUCUUAUAUGAAUGUUAGAUGUCAUUUCUAAAUUCAUGUUGUAACUAUUUCUGCCUUGCUAAGCUGAGAUCAGGGACUGCUGGUCAUUUCUGAAGAUCAGGACACAACCAGCCUCAUUUCUAAAGAUCAGGACCCAACCAGCCAUCCUAAUCUGAGUGUCGGAUAUUUGGAAGUUUGAAGAAGCCUAACAUGCAUAACAUUAGGAGCCCCCCUCUCCCAGUCGAGAUCAGGCAAGGCAGAUGGGAAGCAGCGGCGCCCCCUCUCCCUCGAGCUCUAGAUCCAUGGCACCAGCAUCGAGGUCAUAUCUCAGAAUACAUCAUGUCAAGAACUGGUAGCCAAAGAUCUCCAUGGAACUGAGUGACAUUUCUUGGUGACUUUACAAUAUUCAGCUUGAAGCCCUUAAAUUUCCAGUAGUUGUGUCCUUAUUGUUUUGGUGUAGCACUUCAUGUAACAAUUGAAUGCUGAAUUCAUUACUUCAUGAGUAUGUGUGGCCUCUCUCCCUCUGUCUGAUUCUAUAUCAUGCCUUUCAGUGUUUUGUGUUUUAGAUUCCAUAAUC
rnacentral:rRNA from 1 species